UGAGCGCACCCAAGGUGACGUCCCAGGCGUCUGCGGCCGACUGUUCCCUAGGGAAGGGCCAGUGCGUGCAACCGGAAUCACCCCAGUAUGAGACACCUCGAUACGGACUUAUGAGACACCUGGGAUGCUUAGGCAACCUUGCUGCUCCUUCACCUUCACGCCUUAGAAGCCACCAGACCCAUGCACCAGCCACGUAGCCGUGUAACAACCAGGAAACCAAGCAUUUGGGAAAACAAGACCUGGGAAGGUUAGAAAACCUGCUCUAGUCCAUGCGUCUGGAGACAAGACCCUGGAGGCAGGUCCCUCCUGCCACAGCCCCUGGGACCACACCCUCCUGCCUCCGCAAAUUAAAUUCCUGUGAAUUCCUAAUUAAAAAGGCAUUCAUUAACACUGUCGUUUUAAGAGAUGACUGAUAUCGCUGUCGUCUUUCUUCAACUUUGCGAAAAUCAUUUUACUUCCAACUGUUUAAUUAGGCCACACGAUAAUCUCCCUGAGCAAGCUGCUGACCCCGUUGGAAACGCGGAGGAAGGGGUAUCCCACCUGGGAGCUGGAACUCUUUGAUGUAUUCAUGAACUUGGUCUAGACACACAGAGGCAGCCUCCAAACCCUUGACCAGGACGGCCCCCUCUGCAGUUACUAAUUAACAACAGGAUUUUAUUUUUAAAAAGCCAUUUACAACUGAAGAGCCUACACACCAUAAUCUCAGUGGAUGUUGACGGCCAUUUGCUGAAGGUUUUAACAAAUAAUCCUAGUGUGCGCUUAUGGGAUGCUUCUUACGACGUGUGGGUUCUGCUGAAGUUCUGCAGGUGCUUGAGGUCAUUCCUUCCGCACCUACCUUUUCUGAACUGUGAGACGUGACAGCUACUGCAUGUUAAAGAUCAGACUAAGACCUGAGAGAAGCGCAGGUGCAAGGAAAUGCAGUAUCAGCAGAGGCAGGAUUCCUUGUCAUCCCUAAGAUUUCAAAAGCACCUAACUCCCUGCCUAGAAAGCCUGAAGGAUUUUUGUUUCCUGCUCUUGUGCCAAUAAGCAAGCCCCUGACCCGGCUGCACAGCUGGCCUGGAGUACCUGGCAUCUGUGGCCAGGCAGCAUGCCCUGGCCAUUCUGUGGCCUUUGCUGGCCAGCCUCUAGUUCAAGCUGUGGCCUCAGCAGGGUUUCUUCAA